GUGGGGAAUAUUGCACAAUGGGCGAAAGCCUGAUGCAGCAACGCCGCGUGAGGGAUGAAGGCCUUCGGGUCGUAAACCUCUGUCCUUGGGGAAGAAACAAAUGACGGUACCCAUGGAGGAAGCCCCGGCUAACUACGUGCCAGCAGCCGCGGUAAUACGUAGGGGGCGAGCGUUAUCCGGAAUUAUUGGGCGUAAAGAGUGCGUAGGUGGUUACCUAAGCGCAGGGUCUAAGGCAAUGGCUCAACCAUUGUUCGCCCUGCGAACUGGGCUACUUGAGUGCAGGAGAGGAAAGCGGAAUUCCUAGUGUAGCGGUGAAAUGCGUAGAUAUUAGGAGGAACACCAGUGGCGAAGGCGGCUUUCUGGACUGUUACUGACACUGAGGCGCGAAAGCGUGGGGAGCAAACAGGA
rnacentral:rRNA from 1 species